rnacentral:rRNA from 1 species
CCUGCGGAAGGAUCAUUACCUAGAGUUGCGGGCUUUGCCUGCCAUCUCUUACCCAUGUCUUUUGAGUACCUUCGUUUCCUCGGCGGGUUCGCCCGCCGGUUGGACAACACUUAAACCCUUUGUAAUUGAAAUCAGCGUCUGAAAAACUUUAAUAGUUACAACUUUCAACAACGGAUCUCUUGGUUCUGGCAUCGAUGAAGAACGCAGCGAAAUGCGAUAAGUAGUGUGAAUUGCAGAAUUCAGUGAAUCAUCGAAUCUUUGAACGCACAUUGCGCCCCUUGGUAUUCCAUGGGGCAUGCCUGUUCGAGCGUCAUUUGUACCUUCAAGCUCUGCUUGGUGUUGGGUGUUUGUCUCGCCUUUUGCGCGCAGACUCGCCUCAAAACGAUUGGCAGCCGGCGUAUUGAUUUCGGAGCGCAGUACAUCUCGCGCUUUGCACUCACAACGACGACGUCCAAAAAGUACAUUUUUACACUCUUGACCUCGGAUCAGGUAGGGAUACCCGCUGAACUUAA